GAUGAGACGUCUCCGGAAUCGCUGCACCACCUUGAUGAUUCCCUUGAACCCGUCUGCCUGAUGACUGUGGCUGUUGUGU